UUUCUUUUUGUUUGUAUAAAAAGUAAGACCUGCUCACUGAGAUUUAAAGAGCCGCAGUAUUUUGACUGUGCAAAGGUAGCAUAAUAAUUAGCUUUUUAAUUGAAGGCUGGCAUGAAAGGUUAAACGAAAUUUUUAUUGUCUCUUAUUAGUUUAUUGAAUUUUAUUUUAUAGUGAAAAAGCUAUAAUAAUUAAAGAGGACGAGAAGACCCUAUAGAGUUUUAUAAUUAAUUCAGGUUUAGAAUAAAAUUAAAAUUAUUUGAUUGGGGUGAUAAUGAAAUAAGUAAACUUUUAAAAUAAUAACAGUAUAAUUGAAUUAAAGAUCUUAAAGUACAUAAAGAAAAAUUACCUUAGGGAUAACAGCGUAAUUAUUUUGGAGAGUUCAAAUUGAUGGAAUAGAUUGCGACCUCGAUGUUGGAUUAGAAAUAUAUUUAAAGCAGAAAUUAAAUGGAGGAGUCUGUUCGACUAUUAAAUUUCUA
rnacentral:rRNA from 1 species